ACCACCCUCCACCCUACCUGACCACCCUCCACCCUACCUGACCACCCUCCACCCUACCUGACCACCUUAUACCCUACCUGACCACCCUCCACCCUACCUGACCACCCUCCACCCUACCUGACCACCCUCCACCCUACCUGACCACCCUCCACCCUACCUGACCACCCUAUACCCUACCUGACCACCUUAUACCCUACCUGACCACCCUCCACCCUACCUGACCACCCUCCACCCUACCUGACCACCUUAUACCCUACCUGACCACCUUAUACCCUACCUGACCACCCUAUACCCUACCUGACCACCUUAUACCCUACCUGACCACCCUAUACCCUACCUGACCACCUUAUACCCUACUUAUUUUGGUUUCAUUUUUUUAUACCAAAGAAAAGAAGUGACAGGCAACAAUACAGAUCAAAUCAAUAAUAAAUGUUGUGCAGGUUGGAAGGGAUGAUUUAAAAACAACACCUCCAAAAACAAUAUACAAUACAGAUGUAGACAAAGGUUUGUUUAAACAGAUAACAAAACCUACUAAUUAUGAAUGUAUAAAUUAAUCAGUAAUCAUUAAACAAAUAAAUACAUAUUUUUGUUUUGUUUAAAUGUGAGAGUUGGGCUAUAUGGAAGGGGUUACUGAGUAGUUUGGUUCAUCAAGCUGAACUCCAGUCUUCACUUGAAGUUAUUGAGGGAUGAUGAUGUUUUGGCAAUGUGAAGAUAAAAAUUCCAGAGUACCUCUGUACCUGAUAGAGAAUUGAUUAAAUGAGGUGUGACAGUGGGGAGGGUGAACGUUAUAUAGAUUAAUUUUAUAAUGAACCUGGAAGAAUCCAUUGAAGGGUUUAGGUCAACUGUCUUGGAGGUUUGAGUAUAUGUAGAUGAAAGUGCAUAAUUGGUGUACAUUAAUGUUGUAAAUAGACAAGAUAUUGUGUUUCUUAAACAAAGCUGCAGAUGGAGCCAGGUAAUUAGAGUAGGUGUCUAGUCAUGCACAUUUCUUUUGUAUGAUGAGUAAUUUGUGUAGGUAGAAGGCAUAUCUACUGGCCCAGACAAUAUUACAGUAAAUGAGAUCUGGGUAACUGAAGCUCCAGUAUAGAGAUCUGGGUAACUGAAGCUCCAGUAUAGAGAUCUGGGUAACUGAAGCUCCAGUAUAGAGAUCUGGGUAACUGAAGCUCCAGUAUAGAGAUCUGGGUAACUGAAGCUCCAGUAUGGAGUUAGGAAGCCUGAUGAACCAAACCACUCAUCUAUCUGAUAUCAACACAUUUCAUCACUUUAAUGCAGACUGAAUGGGAUCUUUCCAGGGUAACUUGUCAUCUAUUAAAACUCCCUGGAAUCUAGUGGAUGUGACUUGUUCCGUUUCAUUCACACCAGUUGAGAUUCUGGCUCUUUAACAAUAUUUCUUAUUCUUACUAUUGAAUACAAUAACAUAGGAUUUUUUUAUAUUUAAAGAUGAAUUGUGUAUUUGGAACCAUUCAGAAAAUGUGGCAAUGCCUGUGUUAGCUUAAUUAAUUAGUGAAUCAAAAUGAUUGUGUUAUAAAAUCUAAUUGGUGUCAUCAGCAAAGGGAAUGAGAAGUACAGUAGAAGACAUAGCAGUAAGGUUAUUGAUAUAGUUUAGUAUGUUAUGGUAGAAGACACAGUAACAAGGUUAUUGAUAUAGAUUAGUAUGGAUUGUUAGACGACACAGUAACAAGGUUAUUGAUAUAGAUUAGUAUGGAAUGGUAGAAGACACAGCAACAAGGUUAUUGAUAUAGAUUAGUAUGGAUUGGUAGACGACACAGCAACAAGGUUAUUGAUAUAGAUUAGUAUGGAUUGGUAGAAGACACAGCAACAAGGUUAUUGAUAUAGAUUAGUAUGGAUUGGUAGAAGACAGCAACAAGGAUAUAGAUUAGUAUGGAAUGGUAGAAGACACAGUAACAAGGUAUUGAUAUAGAUUUGUAUGUUAAGGUAGAAGACACAGCAACAAGGUUAUUGUUAUAGAUUAGUAUGGUAGAAGACUCAGCAGUAAGGUUAUUGUUAUAGAUUAGUAUGGUGGAAGACUCAGCAGUAAGGUUAUUGAUAUAGAUUAGUGUGGUAGAAGACCCAGCAGUAAGGUCAUUGAAAUAGAUUAGUAUGGUAGAAGACCCAGCAGUAAGGUCAUUGAUAUAGAUUAGUAUGGUAGAAGACCCAGCAGUCAGGUUAUUGAUAUAGAUUAGUAUGGUAGAAGACCCAGCAGUCAGGUUAUUGAUAUAGCUUAGUAUGGUGGAAGACCCAGCAGCAAGGUUAUUGAUAUAGAGUUGAAGUCUGAAGUUUACAUACACUUAGGUUGGAGUCAUUAAAACUCAUUUCUCAACCACUCCACACAUUUCUUGUUAACAAACUAUGGUUUUGGCAAGUCGGUUAGAUCUACUUUGUGCGUGACACAGGUCAUUUUUCCAACAAUUGAUUACAGACAGAUUAUUUCACUUCUAAUUCACUAUAUCACAAUUCCAGUGGGUCAGAAGUUUACAUGCACUAAGUUGACUGUGUGUAAAAUUCCAGAAAAUGAUGUCAUGGCUUUAGAAGCUUCUGAUAGGCUAAUUGACAUCAUUUGAGUCAAUUGGAGGUGUACCUGUGGAUAUAUUUCAAGGCCUACCUUCAAACUCAGUGCCUCUUUGCUUGACAUUGGAAAAUCAACAGAAAUCAGACAAGACCUCAGAAAAAUAUUUGAGACCUUCAAAAGCCUGGUUCAUCCUUGGGAGAAAUUUCCAAACGCCUGAAGGUACCACGUUCAUCUGUACAAACAAUAGUACGCAAGUAUAAACACCAUGGGACCACGCUCCAAAACCGCCGUAAAAUAGCCAGAUUACGGUUUGCAACUGCACAUGGGGGCAAAGAUGGUUCUUUUUGGAGAAAUGUCCUCUGGUCUGAUAAUACAAAAAUAGAACUGUUUGGCCAUAAUGACCAUCGUUAUGUUUGGAGGAAAAAGGGGGAGGCUUGCAAGCCAAAGAACACCAUCCCAACCGUGAAGCACGGGGGUGGUAGCAUCAUGUUUGCUGCAGGAGGGUCUGGUGCACUUCACAAAAUAGAUGGCAUCAUGACGGAGUAAAAUGAUGUGGACAUAUUGAAGCAACAUCUUAAGACAUCAGUCAGGAAGUUAAAGCUUGGUCGCAAAUGGGUCUUCCAAAUGGACAAUGACCCCAAGCAUACUUCAGAAGUUGUGGCAAAAUGGCUUAAGGACAACAAAGUCAUUGGAGUGGCCAUCACAAAGCCCUGACCUCAACCCUAUAGAAAGGUUUUGGGCAGAACUGAGAAAGUGUGUGUGAGCAAGGAGGCCUACAAACCUCACUCAAUACACCAGGUCUGUCAGGAGGAAUGGGCCAGAAUUCACCCAACUUAUUGUGGGAAGCUUGUGGAAGGCUACCCGAAACGUUUGACCCACAUUAAACCAUUUAAAGGCAACGCUACUAAAUACUAAUUGAGUGUAUGUAAACUUCUGACCCACUGGGAAUGUGAUGAAAGAAAUAAAAGCUGAAAUAAAUAUUUCUGUCUUCGAUUAUUCUGACAUUUCACAUUCUUACAAUAAAGUGUUGAUCCUAACUGA